rnacentral:rRNA from 1 species
UGAACGCUGGCGGCAGGCCUAACACAUGCAAGUCGAGCGGUAGCACAGAGAGCUUGCUCUCGGGUGACGAGCGGCGGACGGGUGAGUAAUGUCUGGGAAACUGCCUGAUGGAGGGGGAUAACUACUGGAAACGGUAGCUAAUACCGCAUAAUGUCGCAAGACCAAAGUGGGGGACCUUCGGGCCUCAUGCCAUCAGAUGUGCCCAGAUGGGAUUAGCUAGUAGGUGGGGUAACGGCUCACCUAGGCGACGAUCCCUAGCUGGUCUGAGAGGAUGACCAGCCACACUGGAACUGAGACACGGUCCAGACUCCUACGGGAGGCAGCAGUGGGGAAUAUUGCACAAUGGGCGCAAGCCUGAUGCAGCCAUGCCGCGUGUGUGAAGAAGGCCUUCGGGUUGUAAAGCACUUUCAGCGGGGAGGAAGGCGGUGAGGUUAAUAACCUUGGCGAUUGACGUUACCCGCAGAAGAAGCACCGGCUAACUCCGUGCCAGCAGCCGCGGUAAUACGGAGGGUGCAAGCGUUAAUCGGAAUUACUGGGCGUAAAGCGCACGCAGGCGGUCUGUCAAGUCGGAUGUGAAAUCCCCGGGCUCAACCUGGGAACUGCAUUCGAAACUGGCAGGCUAGAGUCUUGUAGAGGGGGGUAGAAUUCCAGGUGUAGCGGUGAAAUGCGUAGAGAUCUGGAGGAAUACCGGUGGCGAAGGCGGCCCCCUGGACAAAGACUGACGCUCAGGUGCGAAAGCGUGGGGAGCAAACAGGAUUAGAUACCCUGGUAGUCCACGCCGUAAACGAUGUCGAUUUGGAGGUUGUGCCCUUGAGGCGUGGCUUCCGGAGCUAACGCGUUAAAUCGACCGCCUGGGGAGUACGGCCGCAAGGUUAAAACUCAAAUGAAUUGACGGGGGCCCGCACAAGCGGUGGAGCAUGUGGUUUAAUUCGAUGCAACGCGAAGAACCUUACCUGGUCUUGACAUCCACAGAACUUUCCAGAGAUGGAUUGGUGCCUUCGGGAACUGUGAGACAGGUGCUGCAUGGCUGUCGUCAGCUCGUGUUGUGAAAUGUUGGGUUAAGUCCCGCAACGAGCGCAACCCUUAUCCUUUGUUGCCAGCGGUUAGGCCGGGAACUCAAAGGAGACUGCCAGUGAUAAACUGGAGGAAGGUGGGGAUGACGUCAAGUCAUCAUGGCCCUUACGACCAGGGCUACACACGUGCUACAAUGGCAUAUACAAAGAGAAGCGACCUCGCGAGAGCAAGCGGACCUCAUAAAGUAUGUCGUAGUCCGGAUUGGAGUCUGCAACUCGACUCCAUGAAGUCGGAAUCGCUAGUAAUCGUAGAUCAGAAUGCUACGGUGAAUACGUUCCCGGGCCUUGUACACACCGCCCGUCACACCAUGGGAGUGGGUUGCAAAAGAAGUAGGUAGCUUAACCUUCGGGAGGGCGCUUACCACUUUGUGAUUCAUGACUGGG